rnacentral:rRNA from 1 species
UGGGGAAUUUUGGACAAUGGGCGAAAGCCUGAUCCAGCAAUGCCGCGUGCAGGAUGAAGGCCUUCGGGUUGUAAACUGCUUUUGUACGGAACGAAACGGUCUGAGUUAAUACCUCGGGCUAAUGACGGUACCGUAAGAAUAAGCACCGGCCAACUACGUGCCAGCAGCCGCGGUAAUACGUAGGGUGCAAGCGCUAAUCGGAAUUACUGGGCGUAAAGCGUGCGCAGGCGGUUUUGUAAGACAGAUGUGAAAUCCCCGGGCUUAACCUGGGAACUGCAUUUGUGACUGCAAGGCUAGAGUACGGCAGAGGGGGAUGGAAUUCCGCGUGUAGCAGUGAAAUGCGUAGAUAUGCGGAGGAACACCGAUGGCGAAGGCAAUCCCCUGGGCCUGUACUGACGCUCAUGCACGAAAGCGUGGGGAGCAAACAGGAUUAGAUACCCUGGUAGUCCACGCCCUAAACGAUGUCAACUGGUUGUUGGGUCUUCACUGACUCAGUAACGAAGCUAACGCGUGAAGUUGGCCGCCUGGGGAGUACGGCCGCAAGGUG